AUACGUAGGUGGCAAGCGUUGUCCGGAAUUACUGGGCGUAAAGCGCACGCAGGCGGUCUGUCAAGUCGGAUGUGAAAUCCCCGGGCUCAACCUGGGAACUGCAUUCGAAACUGGCAGGCUAGAGUCUUGUAGAGGGGGGUAGAAUUCCAGGUGUAGCGGUGAAAUGCGUAGAGAUCUGGAGGAAUACCGGUGGCGAAGGCGGCCCCCUGGACAAAGACUGACGCUCAGGUGCGAAAGCGUGGGGAGCAAACAGGAUUAGAUACCCUGGUAGUCCACGCCGUAAACGAUGUCGAUUUGGAGGUUGUGCCCUUGAGGCGUGGCUUCCGGAGCUAACGCGUUAAAUCGACCGCCUGGGGAGUACGGCCGCAAGGUUAAA
rnacentral:rRNA from 1 species